CCCCCCUUAGGGUCAUGCUUGGAGAGUUCCCAGUACUCUACCAAUCUUGGCUAUGGGAGGGAGAGUCAAGCAGAGGCCUGUCCAUUCCAUUCCUAGUUUGGCCAGUGGCUAGCAAGUGGAAGGCAAUCUGCUGCAAGU
rnacentral:snoRNA from 1 species